AGCUUUACUGUAGUUAGUUAUCACAUUCUCAUAAACUUUGUGUAGCGUAUAAGGUUAAUGUUUGUUUUAAAAAACAAAAAGUCGAUAGACACAGUUGAAACACCUUUCUUGGUUUUAUGUUAAUGUUCACCUAAUCUUUAAUAGUUAGGGAUAAAUGACUAAUUGGCAGUUUGUCUGGGGCGGACGUCUUUAAUAGAGUAUCAGAGACAUCCACAAGGUAUGUCUUAAAUUGGAUGGAGACCAAGCAAGCCAUGAACGGUAUAAUAAGGUAUAAUGACUUAAGCAUGCUUAACUGAGAGACCUAUAAGUCAAACAGAUACGUAAGUAGGGCAUAAUGAUCCGGCGGUAUAUUAUGGAAUAGCCGUCGCACAAUAGAUAAAAGUUA
rfam:Rhizoctonia solani AG-8 WAC10335 unplaced genomic scaffold Scaffold_77, whole genome shotgun sequence.